rnacentral:snRNA from 1 species
GGGCUCACUUUGGCAGUACAUAUAGUAAAAUUGGAAUGAUACAGAGAUUAACAUGGCCCUGUUCAAGGAUGACACCUCACAUUUGUGCAGCAUCCCAUAUAUAU